GGUUGAGCAUAUGCUUUCAAGGAUUUUUCUUCAGGGGCGGGAAGAA
rnacentral:ncRNA from 20 species